GUGUCGUUCCCAAGUCUUCCUUCCCCAGAUGCAGCCGCCGUCUUCUCCUCUUUCCCACGCGAGCUCUCUUCUAUCCAUGACCGGCCGGGCCAGCUAGGGUUACCACCCGUCUCUCCCUAUCUAUGACCGGAUCCGCGGAGGUGGCCAUCACAUGCCAUCUAUUGACGGGCGAGGAAGGCUCAUCGCAGCAACGACAACGGAGAGUUGCGGCCAUCCACUGGCGACAAGUGGACUGCCCCCUCCCCCAACCCACUCUCCCCUGCGGCGGCUUCCUUCGCGCGCCCCGCCAUGACCUCGCCAUUUCGUUUGGAUUUUGGGGGUGGUCUUCAAGCCGGACAGAGUCUGUCGAUGGCGCCGACCUCGGCUGAUCCAUGGACGUUUUUUUUUUUUGCUCCUAUUAUGUGUGGAUUUCGGGGGUGUACUUGCCCGUUGGAUGCCAUGUGUUUGUUUACACCAUUUUCAGAUUUAAUAAGAAUUAAGAAGAAGAGAUUCAAGUGCUUGUACUCCCAAAUCACGUAUUGAAAAUUCGUAUAGUUUCCUGAACUUUUCCCUGAAAGUGUUAUGUAUUGUUUGACGUUUUCAGAUGCAAGAGGCAGACCAACCAAGGACAACAGAACAUGGUUUUCGCCAAGGCCUCGCUGGCGUUGCUGGCCGUGAGGGAAGCAACGUGCUCAGCAGUCCUAUCCCUAACUUCAUGAUGAUGCUUCUAUUAAGUUCAUGCAGUAACACAAAUAUUGUGUUUGUACCAUGUAUUGUUUGCUUGCCUACAAACAGAUGGUUGGUGUGCCUCCUGUCUGUCGUACGGCGCCGCUACUCCGGCCACUGCGCCUUCAGGGAGGGGACUGCGCCGAGAGCUUCAAGGAGUUCAAGGCCAACAACAUCCGUGGCACCUUCCCUGUCCUGCUCCAGAUGGGCAAUGUCCUCGUGUUCGGCGGCCAUGUCCCCAUCGUCAAGGUGGGGCGGAUGGCUGGCCAGUUCACCAAGCUGAGGUCUGGUAACUUUGAAAAGAAGGAUGGGGUUAAGCUGCCCAGUUACAGGAGAAAAAACGUCAAGGGCGACGCGUUUGAUCUGAAGGGCCGUGUCUGUCCCAGAUAGGAUGAUCAGGACGUACGCGUAGUCGGUGGCGAUGCUCAACUUGCUGCGUGCUAUCGCGACAGGAGGUUACAUAACUAUGAGGCGGGUCAUCCAGUGGAACCUUGAUUUCAUGGAUCACAAUGAGCAGGGAGACAGAUUCUUGAUGCUCAUUGGGGUGCCAUGACUGACAGUGAUAUUUUGCUUGAGCAAAAUUUCACAGGCCCUCAUCGUCAUGUCAAUCAAACUUUAAUUGAGGAAAUGCCAACAAAGGAGAUGUUCCACAAGCACUGACAAACAGGCGAGUAGACAAACCAACGAUUGUACUUAAAAAGUCACAUAUUCUGAUCCGCAUGUCAUUACAUUCAAUGGCGAUAUUCACGCUAUUGUCGGGGCAGUGCUGGACAUUUUCUUGCGCCAUGAGAGUGGUCUUUUGUGGAUUUGCUAUGCUGGUUCAGACGUUGUGAGCCUUCAUCGAGCACACUGGCCUUGGGUGCGAGCGCCGGCAGCAACGGCAUGAGGUAAGCAACCUUGAUCAGUGUUGCGUUGUACAUUUUGACAUGCUUCCAUGCAACAAUCAGGUCCUGAUCUUUCUAUGCACCUACAAAGUGCACACCAUCAUAUUGACAAAUUAUACGGUGUUUGUGCCAUAAUUUGUCAACUUGGAUAUGGACGGGUAGCAAGACAAAAGGAUCAAAAGCCUGUACACAUAUGAUUGGGACUAGCGAAUUCACAUAUACAAAUAUGUUUCUAGAGCAAGGCUGAGAAGCUCCUCACCCACAACCAUUUAUCAUUUUUAGUUAGUUAUCACAAGGAUGAUGAUUCAGAAGUUUCUAGGAUGAUGGGACUUGAGGCCAAACCAUAUAUGUUUACUUUCAACUUCUCUUGUUGUUAUUAUACCUAAAUUUUUCUUAUAUGUUCGCGUUUGAGCACUUGUGAUCCUCAUAAUAGCAAGUUUGUCAUAAAUUCUAGAACCCCUUUGGAGGUUGAAGUCAGCAAAGAUAGCGUAUUCACCUAUAUUCAGAUAAUUCAAAUAAAUUUACAUUAGUGCCAUCAAGGAUUACACUAGACGUGUCAAUGUGGAUAAGCAAGAUAGGUG